AGGAGAAAACCAGCAAACCCUCACAUUCCAGAAGCUGAAACCAGAUGUUUAAAAGGUCUGAAACAUAAUUUAAAUGAUAAAUCAAUUAUCAGAAUUGUUGCAUUUUCUUUACAUUUAAAUCAUUUCUCAAGCAAAAAUGUCAAAAACAUUCUCUCAUUCCAGCUUCUCAAUUGUAAGAAUUAGUUUUUCAAUCUUUGUAAAUGUAAGACUUUUGGGAUUUUGUAGAGUUCGAAUCAGGUUAUUGAAAGAUGUAAGUGUGGGCUUUUUACAUUUUAUAGAAGAUGAAUCAAUAACUUAAAAGGACAGAUUAACCCUCUAUGCAUCUAAAAUUUGACAAAACAAGAUCCAAUUGCCAAGUUUUCCAGAGCUUUCAACUACCAUCUUGUGGCCUUCAGUAAGAUAGAGUUAGCUCAGUUGUCAUAGAGAUGGUUUAAUUAUCACGUGAAAAAAAAAAA